CUUCUUAAUUGAUUUAGUUCUUCCAUAAUGCGCGAUACGCAAUUUUCUUUGCUCUUGCAUAAUUGCAACUUGUUCUCUUCUAGCUGCCGCUAUGCUUCCAGGUGCCUCGACUAUGAGGGAGCUGGAAGAGCAUUUCAACGAACCAUUAUCGCCAGAUUGAGGGAUACCUGAUGAUUUCUUGGACUUCUUCACUACUAUUGCACUAGAAGCUUUAAUAUUCGAGGAUUUUGGUGUCACGAUGAGCCUGUCAAUACUCGAGUUCAAAUCAUUACUUCUCUUGAUAGCUGGCAGUCUUGGAGAUUUCAGCUUAGGAGAGACCGGUGUGGUGGCUGUGGCAGUCGAUGAGGGCGGCCUCACUUUGGCAGUUGCAGUCUUUUUAAGCGGCGAAUUUGGUCUUUCCAAUGAAGGGACGCGAUUACAGUUGGGUUGAAGAACCCGGCGCUUAUUAACACAAGUUGGCGAGGUGCUACCAUCAUGAUUACAAUGGUCUUGUGAUUUAGACUUUGAGCUACACAUCUCUUUGGUGCAACAAUCUAUUGAAAGAAGGAGACGGCGAGAGAAGGAUCGACUCGAAAAUGAAAAAGGAUAAAGAACUUAAUUAAGGAUGUAUGGAUGAAUGGUACAUAUAUAAAAGGGAUGGGUAGGGACAGAAUUGUGGAAUUAGUCACAUGGAGGGGUUGAGGUCUGCCUGCCAUACACAAGGACAUGUACCCUCUUGUGAAGGGCACUUUUCUUGGGGGUUUAGAAUAUUGUAUACAUUUAUUACUUAUAUGAUUAAUCAGGUAUAACUCCCACCCCACCCCCAGACCCAAUUGCUAGGCUGCUAAUGAACCCUAUUUCGCUUUACUGCUGUUUCAUUGCCAACUCAAUUGUUGGAGUGUGGAUGAAGGUUUUUGGGGUUCAGAAAAAGACUUUGCUUUGCAGUUGGCUCAAAUCCUCUUUCUAUCACGUUCUCUGUCUCUCUUUAACUUUUUAAAAUGUCUCGAGUAGUUAAGAUUUCAGAGUUAAUUAGUUGGAACUAAUCAAGUAAAAAGUCAGGACAACUCCAUAAAACAGCCUUUUGUCUAAAUAUUAAUUAAUUGGAGACCAUUUUUUUCAUAGAUAUCUUGAUCUUGGGUUAGGGUUACAAGAUCUUCAACGAAGUCGAACUCGAGACAACUAACUUGGUGACGGCGUGGCUCGUGAGCAAUAUUAUUCACUUCUCGCCUCACAAUCUUAAUUAUAAUGACACCCUCGAUCGCAUGAAGUGGUGUUUUUUUGUUUAUUGGACAACUACUUCGAGCAUCUCGAGUUUACAUAAUUAACUUUAUAAUCGGUCCAACGAAGAGGUGGGUUCUUUCUUGGACGGCGGUUAAACAAUCUAAUUCAAUCGUGGCAAUGUCAAGACGAUGUUAAUGGACAAUGACUAAACCCAAUUUGACAUUCUUAUUUUAUAUUUUAAGUAGUUUGGUCUAUGUAGUCUGCACGUUCCUCCAGGCUUGGGCAUUGAAGGAAUCUGCAACGGUCCCAUGUGCCAUAUGCUCUAGCGAUCUUUCACUAUUUAAGUGUUAAUCAAUAUGCCCCUUUCCCCUGCCUACAUCCAUUCUCAUAAAAUUGAGGAAUCUUAUUCCUUCGCGUCUUCACUAACGAAAAAAACUCCAAUUCUUUGUCGAUUUAAGUCGUCGAGAAUUGCGGACGGGCGAAAAAUAAAAGGACACAAUCCAUUAAUUUCACGUAUCGAAUUUAUAACUUAAGUCUAAAAAUGUACAAGUUCGUGGACCACGCUCGUUCAAUGUCAUGUAUAUGAUUUUUAAUUUGUUUUGUUAUUGUCAAAUGUGUGUUUUGUUAUUGUCAAAUGGGAAUUACGGAAUUAACCCUUAACUAAUAUUAGAUAAAGAUGAAACAUCCCAUGUGCUUUAUAUCAACAUAAUGGAAUCAUGAAUUAUUAAGACAUGAAGCCCGCAAAACACACGAGACAUGUAUUCUUAUUCAUAAUCCUAAAAAUAACAUACUACGCGUGAACAACUAUGAAACCAUAUACGUAUGAUCAGGGCUGGUCCUUUAAUCGUCGAGGCCCGAGACGAAAUCCAAAAAUUAGGCCCCCAAAAUCAACGUAAAUGUAAAAUUCAACGAUAUAUUAUGCAACAUAUUAUUAACUUAAAACUUAAAAUUACAACAACAAACAAAUAUCUCAAUCAUCUCACAAUAAUUGAAAAAAAUAUUUUCCUUUUCCUACUUAAAAAAAGAAAAAAAAAAAGAACGUUUGGGCCAAAAUAGACCCUUUGUGGUUUUGGGCAUGAGGCACAGGCCUCAUUUGCCCGUGCCCAGGAUCGGCCAUGCGUAUGAUACAGAUUAAUGUACAAUGAUGGAUAGGGAACUAGUUUUUUCAAUAAAGUGAAUAAAAAUUUAAUUGAUGAAUUAACUUGUGAAUGUUGUUGUAAUGUCUUUGUUAACCAAAACAGCAUCUUGUAGUUCUUUCACAAAAGUAGAAACUCGUUGAAGUUAUUUUUCCGCGAAUAGAACUGAUGGGUAAGAACAAUGGAGUGUUCCAUCAAUGACUCGCUAUGUUACCAGAAUAUACUAACAAAAAGCGAAGUAAAGUUAUUUUUUUCUAUUGCUUUCUAGGAUGCCUUUUUUUUUUUUUUUUUUUUUUCCUUACGAAGGUAUUUUCAAUGGUCAUUUCUGGUAAUGAGCACGAUCUCCUCUUUUGAGUGUUGGGAUAUGUUGUCUACAAUUUAUUAAAGUAAAUAAAUUAUAAUUGAUCAGUCAUUGUAAAUAGUGAAUCUCAGUAUCACUUGGACGGUGCUUGAUAAUAUUAUUCUUUAUUUUAGGGUCCGUUUGAUUGUAAGGAUGAAAUUUGGGUGGAAAGAAAACGAAUUUCAGAUAUUUGAAUUGCCUAAAAUUUGUUUUACUAGGAAUUGACAAUUAAAUGUGUUUGAUUGAUAUAAUUUUUCAUCUAGAAAAUGUUGAAAUUUUUUUAUCUUUUGGUGUUCAUUUGACUUUGUUUUUCAUAGAAAUUGUCAACUAAAGGGACAAAAUUUAUUACAAUUUGAGAUAGAAUUUGUUCUAAUUACCAAAAAAAUAAAAAUAAAAAUAAAAAGAGUCUGGAAAUCCAAAUGGUGAGAAUUUAUUUUCCACAAAACCAUGGAAUUGGCACGUGUGUGGAGACAAGUAGGAAAACAAAUUUCAUAGAAAUUUUUAGUAAUCAAACAACACAAAUUGGGUGAAAAUGGAAAACGUUUUCCAUUCUACAUGGAAAAUCAAGGAUAUCAAACAUGGCCUUAGUGUCUUAGAGGGCCAACCCGAUCGACCCAUUUGUGACGUGAUUUGUGAAUCCACGUGAGGCCCAAUAUAUCCUUUUGGGAUGACCUAAGAUAUGAACAAAUUGUUUCCUUUACAAUUAGGAUAAGCAAUCCAAAUUUCAAAGACCAAAUUCAGUUCCAAGCAAAACUAAAAUUUUGCCAUUAUAUAACACAUUACAAAGAAGUUAUUUGUCUCUUGUUUUGCAUAUGAUGCACAUGCUUUUCAAAAAAAUUAUAGUUUAUAAGGACCUUUUAAACUUAGCCCAACAUGCUUGUCUUGAAACUGUCCCUGAAAUAAUGGGCCUGGGUUAAGAGGCCCAAACAAUGGGGAAAAUGCAUGUCAACUAAUAGGCUUUGCAAUUGGGCUAUUUAACAAUUGGACUAAUGGCUACCUACACUCACAUAAUGUGACUAACAUAACACAAUGCGGAAAGAACACUUUGACUAGGCCUAUUCCUGAAAAUAAACUAAUUUAUUGCUUGAGAACGAUGUUAGAUGUACAUUCCAACUGAUAGUCCCCUAAUAGUGAGUGGAGCCAGCGAUUAGAAGUUGUCAAACUAAGUGUACACCAAAGAGCAUAGCGAACAUUAAAUAGAAAGUGAGAAAAUUAGAGGAAAUCACAUUUUAAAGUUUUCAUUAUUAAAAAUAAGGUAUUAUUUUUCUUAUUCACAAAUUAGGUAUUUUAUUUUAAUAAAUAUUUCUAAAUAUAUUUUUAGUAUAUGUUUCUAUUUUGUCUCCAAUUCCAUUGAUCGUGGUAAUGUGUUAUUUGUUGCAAUUAAAAAAGAAAAAGAAAUUCUUACUAGUUCAACAUUAUUUAGAGAGGAAAAAAUAUAUAUUUUUUUCUUUAUUACCAUUGUGAGAGGGGAUUGUUAUUAGAUAGGAAGAACAUCAUGAUCUCAAUGGUCACACAUAAACUACAUAUGUCACAAUUAUUGUAUUUAUUUUUUAUUCACACGUGUUAUCAAACCACAAUUUUGAAUUUCACAUUAAUACAAUCAAAAUAGUAAAGAUGUCAAAAUUUCACAUGUCAUGUAGGUCACAAUUGACGCAAUUUUGUUAACAAUAUAAACAUAAUUGCAUUAUGUAAAAUUAUUGAUCACUUAUUUAAUUUAUGUACGUGCUUAAAUAUCGAUGGUCACAUAUAAUUUUUGAUAUGAAUAUCAUACUACUGUUUACAAGGAACAAAAUAUUACAAGUUAUUAAACAAUAUAAACACACAUUUAUGAAUUUCAAACCCGUCUGUACUGUGACACUGAUGAUGAUGAUUUUUUCAUGUUGUGACCUGUAGAAUUGUGGUUGUUAUCGAAAAACAUAUGGAGAAAAUUAUGAUUCCAUCAGAGGAGUCAAAAUAUGGGAGAUAGUAAGUGUGAUUAGAUUUUUAGGAAAGAAAUAUAAUGAAAAAGAAAAAUCAAUUAUUCUUUAGUAAUAUAUCUUUAUUUUAUAUAAAUUCAUUAUUAUUUAUCCUCAUAUUAAAAUCUUAGAAUCUGAUUUGAUUGUGAAUAAUUUUUCAAACUUUAUAUUUUUGAAAACGUAAUAUAUUAAAAUAUCGUAAUUUCAAUUGUUCACGAAUUAAAUUAUACUUUGAGAAGUCCAAUGAAGUGCUGAGUUACAUUCUGAAACAACAAACUCAACUCUCAACAGAGAGAAGCAAGAGACCCUCAACCCCAAUCUGUUUGCUAAAUAUGCCUCUAAGCGCAACGAUGGUGGGAGCCCUGCUGGGACUGGGUACCCAGAUGUACUCCAAUGCCCUUCGCAAGCUUCCUUACAUGCGCCGUAAGCUCCCUCCCCCUCUCUAUUUUAUCGUUAUUGUAGGAACUAUAUAGGGACUGAUCACUGAUGUGAUUAAUUUCCAAGAAAUUUGCAGAUCCAUGGGAGCAUUUGCUGGGAAUGGGGCUGGGCGCGGUUUUCGCUAAUCAGAUGGUAAAGUGGGAAGUCAAAGCCCAGGAAGAUCUCGACAAGUUACUUCUCAAGGCCAAACAAGCCAAUGAACGCCGCUACUUUGGUAACCUAUUUGUUUUUCUGUAUAUUUCUGAGUUGUGACUAUUGUGACAGGUAUUGAGUAAUGACUGGAUUGUUUUGAAUUGUGGAGAUUUAAUGAAAAUUUUGCCUUUUCACUUGUUUCAAUAGCUUGAGUAGAGAUCAUGUUAUCUUUAUUUUACCAGUUAAUCUGGACACAUUGCAUCUCCAGGGUCGAACUCUUUGCACAAAAGUAGAAAUGAAAAGAGAUACUUGCAUAGUUGUCAUUCACAAUUCAAAGUAUACAUUACAUUACAUAAAUACAAGCAAACAAUACAAAAAACUCAAAUAAAUCUGAAAUUAAAAUCCCCUAAUAGAGAAAAAGAAAAGCAAGCAAUAAUGGAGAUAAAGAUGUGGAUGUGCUAUUCUCAGGCACAUGCAUUCAUGGACCCAACACAUGACCACAUGCACUCUGUUUCCCACCAACACUCUUAACUUCUUUAUUCCUUCCUCCCUAAUUCAUUUUUAGUUUAAGUAACUCUCUCAUUAAUUAUAAGCUAAUAAACACUCACUUCAUCAAACCUAUAAUCCAAAAGGAAUCGACUAUGUUAGGCAAUCAACUAAUUAAUCAGCUUUUGGUCGGUCGGUUUAUUUAAAAAAACAUAAUUUGAUCUCGAACCAAUGUGAUUACAGAAGGAAUGAUGCUUGCGCAACUUGAACACAAUGAUGGUGUCGUGGGCAGGUGAUUAAGUGGUCGUUUGAGAGGCCAGCGGCCUGCAUGAACGAGUGUAUGAUGGUCGGGCCGACUAAUCGAAAGCCCCUCCUAACCAUGUCCUUGCUUAUGGAUUCCGAUUUCGAAGUCUUCACUGGGAUUUUGUGGCAUGAUUUGUACUUCGUUGCUAUGGGUUUGUUGUUCACAAAUCUCCACACGUAUUUCUCAAACGAUCCGAAUUCCUUCUUGAUCUGCAAAUAAUAAACAUUUCAUUAUUUAAAUCAGGAAAAUCAAGUGAAAUUGAUGGAAUCAUUUAUUUGCUAUGAUUACCAAUUAGGUGUGUAGAUAUAUAAGCCAACUGACUCGUGCACAUGGUCCCAUGUGGCAUGUCGUCUUACUAUUUACUAACAAAAGUUGAUGUAGAUAAUGUAUUAUUAGAUAAUUGCGAUGCUGACCUCGAGAAUUCUGUUGGAGUUGUCGACUACACCUCGGACUUGACUCAAGUCUAUUCCACAAUCAGUAUUAAUCGAAUUUAUCUUCUUUUCGGAAAAUUUUGAAACAAUUUCUGCAUCAAAUCCUGAAAAUGCAUCCCUGGGAUUGGAUACGAAUGCAAUCAGAUACAACAAAAUAAAAGUUUUUUCUGAUAAUCUUAAUUAAGAAGGCCCCUCACCUGAGGUCUUGUCUUUUCUUUAACACUGAAGUCCAAUCUGAUCCGACUUGUGCACCAAUUAACACCAACAAUUCAAACAGCAGCCUGCAAUUAAUGCACACACCAAGAAAUUAAAAACCCAUAUUUCAAAUGUCUGUUUACAUUCAUACGAGUCUAGAUCCGCUGUUCUGAGCUGUCUCUUUGGUUGUCACCACAAUCCAUUUUGAGCCUUCAAUGUCUAACUUUUCUUAAAAAUGGGAAGACAUUAACACAGUAAUUUGCCAUUAGGGGACAGCCAAGGAGGCAGCAAGUUCGAGAUAGACUGCUUAAUAAAAGAGAAAAAUGGAGGCGAGAAGAAACCUACUUAUCAUCGUGGACGGGUACUCCCCAUUCUUCGUCAUGGUAGGUAACAUAUAUUGGGUCUACACCACCAUAGAAAAUGAAAUUAGUAACUAGAUUUCUAUCGGUGAUAAUCGAGUGGCAUUAAUUGAUAUGUCGUCAUUUUGAUUACCUGAAUUUGGAGUGAUGAAAGUGCAUCGCUUUUCUUGAUCUCGAACAGCAGCAUUAUUAGUAACCGAAGAAGAAUGAUGGCGAUGAUUAUUAUUAUUAUUAUCAGGAACGACCUUCUUAAUUGAUUUAGUUCUUCCAUAAUGCGCGAUACGCAAUUUUCUUUGCUCUUGCAUAAUUGCAACUUGUUCUCUUCUAGCUGCCGCUAUGCUUCCAGGUGCCUCGACUAUGAGGGAGCUGGAAGAGCAUUUCAACGAACCAUUAUCGCCAGAUUGAGGGAUACCUGAUGAUUUCUUGGACUUCUUCACUACUAUUGC
rnacentral:lncRNA from 1 species